rnacentral:rRNA from 1 species
CGGAGGAAAAGAAACCAACAGGGAUUGCCUCAGUAACGGCGAGUGAAGCGGCAAAAGCUCAAAUUUUAAAGCUGGCACCUCCGGUGUCCGCGUUGUAAUUUUGUGAGGCAUCUCCGGGUAGGGCGCCGGCCUAAGUUCCUUGGAACAGGACGUCAUAGAGGGUGAGAAUCCCGUGCUUGGCUGGCUGUCCCCGUCCAUGUGAGGUGUCUUCGACGAGUCGAGUUGUUUGGGAAUGCAGCUCAAAAUGGGUGGUAAAUUUCAUCUAAAGCUAAAUAUUGGUGGGAGACCGAUAGCGCACAAGUAGAGUGAUCGAAAGAUGAAAAGCACUUUGAAAAUAGAGUUAAAAAGUACGUGAAAUUGUUGAAAGGGAAGCGCUUGAGACCAGAUUUCGGUGGGGAGUGAUCAGCUGUCCUUCUGGGCGGUGCACUUGCUCCCCUCCGGGCCAGCAUCGGUUGGGACGGCGGGAUAAAGGUCCCGGGAAUGUGGCUCCUUUCGGGGAGUGUUAUAGCCCGGGUGAAUGCCGUCAGCCCCGACCGAGGACCGCGCCUUCGGGCUAGGAUGCUUGGCAUAAUGGUCUUCAGCGACCCGUC